CCUACGGGAGGCAGCAGUAGGGAAUCUUCCGCAAUGGACGAAAGUCUGACGGAGCAACGCCGCGUGAGUGACGAAGGUUUUCGGAUCGUAAAACUCUGUUGUGAGGGAAGAACAAGUACCAACUAACUACUGGUACCUUGACGGUACCUCACCAGAAAGCCACGGCUAACUACGUGCCAGCAGCCGCGGUAAUACGUAGGUGGCAAGCGUUGUCCGGAAUUAUUGGGCGUAAAGCGCGCGCAGGCGGUCCCUUAAGUCUGAUGUGAAAGCCCACGGCUCAACCGUGGAGGGUCAUUGGAAACUGGGGGACUUGAGUGCAGAAGAGGAAAGUGGAAUUCCACGUGUAGCGGUGAAAUGCGUAGAGAUGUGGAGGAACACCAGUGGCGAAGGCGACUUUCUGGUCUGUAACUGACGCUGAGGCGCGAAAGCGUGGGGAGCAAACAGGAUUAGAUACCCUGGUAGUCCACGCCGUAAACGAUGAGUGCUAAGUGUUAGGGGGUUUCCGCCCCUUAGUGCUGCAGCUAACGCAUUAAGCACUCCGCCUGGGGAGUACGGCCGCAAGGCUGAAACUCAAAUGAAUUGACGGGG
rnacentral:rRNA from 1 species